rnacentral:rRNA from 1 species
UACGUAGGUGGCAAGCGUUGUCCGGAAUUAUUGGGCGUAAAGAGCAUGUAGGCGGGAAUCUAAGUCUGUUGUGAAAAUGCGGGGCUCAACCCCGUAUUGCGAUGGAAACUGGGUUUCUUGAGUGCAGGAGAGGAAAGGGGAAUUCCCAGUGUAGCGGUGAAAUGCGUAGAUAUUGGGAGGAACACCAGUGGCGAAGGCGCCUUUCUGGACUGUGUCUGACGCUGAGAUGCGAAAGCCAGGGUAGCGAACGGGAUUAGAUACCCCGGUAGUCCUGGCCGUAAACGAUGGGUACUAGGUGUAGGGGGUAUCGACCCCCCCUGUGCCGGAGUUAACGCAAUAAGUACCCCGCCUGGGGAGUACGGCCGCAAGGUUGAA